GUGCCAGCAGCCGCGGUAAUACGGAGGGUGCAAGCAUUGAUCGGAAUUACUGGGCGUAAAGGGCGCGUAGGCGGUUAUAAAAGUCGGAUGUGAAAUUCCGGGGCUCAACCCCGGAGCUGCAUUUGAAACUCUAUGACUAGAGUUCAGUUAGGGUAAACGGAAUUCCACGUGUAGCGGUGAAAUGCGUAGAUAUGUGGAAGAACACCGGUGGUGAAGACGGUUUACUGGGCUGAGACUGACGCUGAGGCGCGAAAGCAUGGGGAGCAAACAGGAUUAGAUACCCCGGUAGUCC
rnacentral:rRNA from 1 species